rnacentral:rRNA from 1 species
GACGUAGGGCGCGAGCGUUGUCCGGAUUUAUUGGGCGUAAAGAGCUCGUAGGCGGCUUGUCGCGUCGACUGUGAAACCCGCGGCUCAACUGUGGGCUUGCGGUCGAUACGGCAUCACUGGAGUUCGGCAGGGAGACUGAAUUCCUGGUGUAGCGGUGAAAUGCGCAGAUAUCAGGAGGAACACCGGUGGCGAAGCGGUCUCUGGCCGAUACUGACGCUGAGAGCGAAGCGUGGGAGCGAACAG